rnacentral:rRNA from 1 species
CCUACGGGAGGCAGCAGUAAGGAAUCUUCCACAAUGGGCGCGAGCCUGAUGCAGCAAAGCCGCGUGGGUGAAGAAGGUCCUCGGAUCUGUAAACCUCGUUUUUAGAGAAGUAAGUGCGGGAGAGUAACUGUUCACGUUUCGACGUUAUCUAACCAGAACUCCUCGGUUAAAGACGUGCCCGCCGCCGCGGUAAUACGGAGGUGGCUAGCGUUAUCCGGAUUUAUUGGGCGUAAAGGGAACGCAGGCGGUCUUUUAAGUCUGAUGUGAAAGCUUUCGGCUUAACCGGAGUAGUGCAUUUGAAACUGGGAGACUUGAGUGCAGAAGAGGUGAGUGGAACUCGAUGUGUAGCGGUGAAAUGCGUAGAUAUAUCGAAGAACACCAGUGGCGAAAGCGGCUCUCUGGUCUGCAACUGACGCUGAGGUUCGAAAGCGUGGGUAGCAAACAGGAUUAGAUACCCUAGUAGUC